AGAACGAUGGAAUCCUUUAGUGUUUCCUUACUGAUCCUGUGGCUUCAGCUCAUUUGGGUGAAUGGCCAGCAGAAGGAGGUGGGGCAGAGUCCUGAGUCCCUCCGUGUUCCAGAGGGAGCCACCGCCUCUCUGAACUGCACUUACAGGGACAGCACUUCUACGUAUUUCUGCUGGUACCGACAGUGUCCUGGGAGAGGCCCCGAGCUGCUGAUGUCCAUAUACUCCAACGGUGACAAAGAAGAAGGAAGAUUCACAGCCCAGCUCAACACAGCCAGCCGACACCUGUCCCUGCACAUCACAGACACCCAGCACAGCGACUCAGCCACCUACCUCUGUGCAGUGAGCACACAGAUGCCUGAUGCGCCACAUUCAGAAGACAUUGGCAAGACAGAAACACAAAGCUGCAACCCCACUCCUGACCAGAUGAGGACUGCAGGGCUGUGCAGGAGGAAGGACUAG